AUUUUGAUGCAUCAGCAAUGCCGACUGGCGCGCACACUCGCCGCAGCUCGAGUCCAUCACUUCAGCUAUUCAUGGAGGCCAUUAAUGAUUUAUUGAAUAACAAAUGAUGAGGACCGCCCCGUGUUUCUCGAGCCUCAUCUUCCGCUCGGCUCGGCUGAGUGAGCCGCGCUCCCAUCGCGAAGCCAGGCAUGUCGAGUAAAGAGACGCUACAUUGAAGUGAAAUGUGUGGCAAGAUAGACACAAUUUCAAGACGUAAUGGUGGCGAAGUGAUGCUGUUGCUGUGGAGGAUUAUGCAUCGACCGACCGGGACAAGACCUGAAGAGGAAUUUCAAAAUCCUAUGAAUAGAAAAAAUUCAAAAAGUGUGUUAAGGAACAUGUUAACUGAAACUUUUGGUGGAUUUAGCAAUUCUUAGGAAUUCAGGGUUUGUUGACUUUCCACUGUAAUUAUUUACAGAUUAAUCUCAAUUUAAAUGCCUGCAGAGGUAAAUUAAUAAAAAUAUACAAAAUGUAUCCCAAAAACAACUUUAGGGAUGUGUUUUUACUGAAAAUAUUGGUUGACUACUGAAA